UAGGGAAUCUUCGGCAAUGGGGGCAACCCUGACCGAGCAACGCCGCGUGAGUGAAGAAGGUUUUCGGAUCGUAAAGCUCUGUUGUAAGAGAAGAACGUGUGUGAGAGUGGAAAGUUCACACAGUGACGGUAACUUACCAGAAAGGGACGGCUAACUACGUGCCAGCAGCUGCAGUAAUACGUAGGUCCCGAGCGUUGUCCGGAUUUAUUGGGCGUAAAGCGAGCGCAGGCGGUUUAAUAAGUCUGAAGUUAAAGGCAGUGGCUUAACCAUUGUUCGCUUUGGAAACUGUUAAACUUGAGUGCAGAAGGGGAGAGUGGAAUUCCAUGUGUAGCGGUGAAAUGCGUAGAUAUAUGGAGGAACACCGGUGGCGAAAGCGGCUCUCUGGUCUGUAACUGACGCUGAGGCUCGAAAGCGUGGGGAGCAAACAGG
rnacentral:rRNA from 1 species